CAGCCGCCGCGGGAAUACGUAGGUGGCAAGCGUUGUCCGGAAUUAUUGGGCGUAAAGGGCUCGCAGGCGGUUUCUUAAGUCUGAUGUGAAAGCCCCCGGCUCAACCGGGGAGGGUCAUUGGAAACUGGGAAACUUGAGUGCAGAAGAGGAGAGUGGAAUUCCACGUGUAGCGGUGAAAUGCGUAGAGAUGCGGAGGAACACCAGUGGCGAAGGCGACUCUCUGGUCUGUAGCUGACGCUGAGGAGCGAAAGCGUGGGGAGCGAACAGGAUUAGAUACCCCCGUAGUCCCUGUCUCUUAUAC
rnacentral:rRNA from 1 species